CUCCAGCUCCCCCCAUGGAUGUGCUCAGGACCAGUUCUCACACUGACCUUUGUUGCAGCAGCACCAAGGUGAAGAGGUGCCUGAAGCCCCAUCCCGUGUAGCCUGAGCAUGCCUCGUUGAGGAUGAAGCCUGCUUUCCAGCAGUCCCCAAAGCCAAGCUCGAGCUGAAAUGCUGUGUCUGUGUUUGAGUUGGGGUUGUGCCUUGAUAUAUCAAGCCAUUUGUGUAACACUCCAGAGGAUUCACAGAGAGUUUUAGUAUGCACCACAAGGGGCUUGACCACAUAGGUGCAGUAUUACCAAGAGACUGAGCAGGGUCACCUUUUUUAGCUGUAAAGGGUAAGUCCAUGAUUACCCCUGAUGGGGCUGCUGUGCAUUCAUGGUCUGUUGGCAUUUGUGGACCUGAGUUUUUUUUUUUUUUCUGGCUCUGGUCUCUGUGCUUGAGUCCUGUGCAAGGAGCUGUACUGUUUGUGUGUCCCGACCGUCUCUUUUUGUUUCUUGUGGCCUAGGUCAUAGGCACAGACUAAGCUGGAAGCUUGAAUGAGGCACGAGGGUGAGUGGAUGGCACUGUGGGCCAUGAGUUGGUCGGUUGGUUUUGUUAGUCUGUUUUGCCUGGUGGGCAGGCUUGGUAAGCACCUUGCGACAGCAGUGUGCAUCUCCUGCCACAGUCCUGUGUCACGCCAGACAUCAAUGGUUCCAGUUCCUGAAAUACUGGAGAAGCCUCAAAGUGCAAGAGGAGCACGGAGUGUGAUGCAUCUCUUUGGGAUGUUAGGUGAGCGAAGCAGUGGUACUGGGUUGGGGGACAUGGGUCUGGGGCUUGGCUGUUGGAGUAGGGGAGGAAAGAAGAGGAGUGGGUAUAGACUGUUUUGUGGAUUGUCAUGUUUACUGUUCUUUCUCCUUGAUCUAACCACUGUGACCUUGGCUUGGCAUGGCGAAUGGAAGCGCUAAACCUCGAUUGGGAAGGUGAGUGGAGAGAAGUUGGAAAAUGGGUGUGGUUUUCGGUUUGGUAGUCUAUCGAUCCACCUCUGGGUGACUCCUCUUUACAGGGGAUGAAGAAAAAACUGUCAACAUCCCAGUAGGCCUCCAUGGGUCCACGCUGAGGAUGGAUUCUGACCCCUGAGAAUCAAGUCAAGGGGCAAAUACUGUGUGUGGUGGGGGGUGGUUGGUGGGGGAGGCAGAGAGUUGUCUACCAGUGGUCUAUCUGACUUAAGUAGCAGAGCAGGUCAGUUGAGUACUGUUUUGCUUCUGAGGAGGGUGUUGCAUUGGAAGAAGUUUGGCUGGUGUGCUGGUGCCUGAUGGCGAUUUGUUUCUGCAGGUGAAGAGGAGCCUUGUGCCUGAAACAAUGUCCUGCCUGUUCUUUGUGUUCCUUGUUGAGGAUGGAGUCUGCCUCCCAGCAUUCCCAAGGGGGCAAAUGCUAUGUUUGGGUUGGGGUUGUGAAUGGACACGUAGGGCAAGGAUAUGUGCUUUUAAGUCGUUGCAGCGGAUGGGACCUUUCAGGAUUGGUCACAGUCAGGCAGAGAGAGGGUGUGUGGGGGGGUCUGUCAGGUAUACCGUGAGCAUGCGCCAUGCAGGGCAGUUCCAGUUUGAAAAGAGAGAAGGUGCAGAGUUCUAUUGUGUGUGGGGUUGCAUAAAGACUCCCGAAGGGAGUUGAGAUGUACCCAAAGGCUUCCGUUGGGAGAAACUGGUGAUGUUAGUGUUUUUUAGGGUCCCUUAUCAGGGAGUGUGAGCAGGAAUUAGGCCUGGUGGAGUCACUCCCUGCUGUGCCUGAGAGAAAGGCACCGGGGACACACACCCGAAAUAGUGGUGAGCCCCCUGCCCUGUUGCUGUCAGUCAGAGGGAUUGGACCUGGGAGGUGGAGAGGAAUGGAAACAGGUCCCGGCUCGGCAUUGCAGGCGAGCCCCCUCCCUACCUGCCUCGCCUCCCCAGGUGCCCUUAUGCAGUAGGUUUGAGGCCAUGGAGCUCAAGGGGACAGGGUGGUGAGGAUGUGGGGAAAAGUCCACCCAGGAGGCUGUCUGGGGCAAGGAAGUCGACUCCACACCUCAAGAGUUCCUCCACCAAGAAGGAAAGAAGGGUAACGGUCAUAGGCGACUGCCUUCUGAGGGGAACAGAGGGCCCCAUAUGUCAUCCAGACCCUACCCAUAGGAAAGUCUGCUGCCUCCCUGGGGCCCAGGUCAGUGACAACACCAGGAAACAUCCUGGCCUUGUUUGUCUGUCUGAUUGUUACCCCUUAGUGAUAAUUUGGGCUGGCAGAAAUGAAGCAACUGAGAGAAGCCUGAAGACUACCACAAGGGACUUCAGGGGACUGGGGCAGUUACUAGACUGUCUGUGUGCAGGUGGUGUUUUCCUCUAUCCCUUCAGUGGUGGGGAGGGAUAACUGAGCGGAUGUGGAAAGCCCAGCUGAUCAAUACAUGGCUGAGAGACUGGUGUUUUCACAGGAAUUUUAUUUUUUUUUUUUGACC